rnacentral:rRNA from 1 species
UCUGGCGGCUGUAGCGCGGUGGUCCCACCUGACCCCAUGCCGAACUCAGAAGUGAAACGCCGUAGCGCCGAUGGUAGUGUGGGGUCUCCCCAUGCG